UACGGAGGGUGCAAGCGUUAAUCGGAAUUACUGGGCGUAAAGCGCACGCAGGUGGCUGAGAAAGUCGAUUGUGAAAGCCCUGGGCUUAACCUGGGAAUUGCAGUCGAAACUACUCGGCUAGAGUAUGGGAGAGGACAGUGGAAUUCCCGGUGUAGCGGUGAAAUGCGUAGAGAUCCGGAGGAACACCAGUGGCGCAGGCGGCUCUCUGGGUCGGCCCUGACGCUGAGGCGCGAAAGCGUGGGGAGCGAACGGG
rnacentral:rRNA from 1 species